rnacentral:rRNA from 1 species
UAGGGAAUCUUCGGCAAUGGACGGAAGUCUGACCGAGCAACGCCGCGUGAGUGAAGAAGGUUUUCGGAUCGUAAAGCUCUGUUGUAAGAGAAGAACGAGUGUGAGAGUGGAAAGUUCACACUGUGACUGUAUCUUACCAGAAAGGGACGGCUAACUACGUGCCAGCAGCCGCGGUAAUACGUAGGUCCCGAGCGUUGUCCGGAUUUAUUGGGCGUAAAGCGAGCGCAGGCGGUUAGAUAAGUCUGAAGUUAAAGGCUGUGGCUUAACCAUAGUACGCUUUGGAAACUGUUUAACUUGAGUGCAAGAGGGGAGAGUGGAAUUCCAUGUGUAGCGGUGAAAUGCGUAGAUAUAUGGAGGAACACCGGUGGCGAAAGCGGCUCUCUGGCUUGUAACUGACGCUGAGGCUCGAAAGCGUGGGGAGCAAACAGGAUUAGAUACCCUGGUAGUCCACGCCGUAAACGAUGAGUGCUAGGUGUUAGACCCUUUCCGGGGUUUAGUGCCGUAGCUAACGCAUUAAGCACUCCGCCUGGGGAGUACGACCGCAAGGUUG